rnacentral:rRNA from 1 species
AUUGAACGCUGGCGGUAUGCUUUACACAUGCAAGUCGAACGGUAACGGGCCUUCGGGUGCCGACGAGUGGCGAACGGGUGAGUAAUGUAUCGGAACGUACCUUUCAGUGGGGGAGUAACGUAGCGAAAGUUACGCUAAUACCGCAUAUUCUGUGAGCAGGAAAGCAGGGGAUCGCAAGACCUUGCGCUGAUUGAGCGGCCGAUAUCAGAUUAGCUAGUUGGUGAGGUAAAGGCUCACCAAGGCGACGAUCUGUAGCGGGUCUGAGAGGACGACCAGCCACACUGGGACUGAGACACGGCCCAGACUCCUACGGGAGGCAGCAGUGGGGAAUUUUGGACAAUGGGGGCAACCCUGAUCCAGCCAUGCCGCGUGAGUGAAGAAGGCCUUCGGUUGUAAAGCUCUUUCUAGACGGAAGAAACGACAUCGGUGAAUACCCGAUGUGGAUGACGGUACCGUAAGAAGAAGCACCGGCUAACUACGUGCCAGCAGCCGCGGUAAA